AUGAACCGACCAAUUCAAGUAAAACCGGCAGACAGUGAAAGUCGAGGAGAGGACCGGAAGCUCUUUGUCGGGAUGCUGGGGAAGCAGCAGACGGAUGAGGACGUGCGGAGAAUGUUUGAACCCUUUGGAAAUAUAGAUGAAUGUACCGUACUGCGGGGGCCGGAUGGGACCAGCAAAGGUUGUGCAUUUGUGAAGUUUCAGACACACACGGAAGCUCAGGCUGCCAUUAAUACUCUGCACGGGAGCCGGACCCUGCCGGGAGCCUCCUCCAGUCUGGUAGUAAAGUUUGCAGACACGGAGAAGGAGCGAGGACUCCGCAGGAUGCAGCAAGUAGCCAAUCAGCUUGGGAUGUUCAGUCCGAUCGCCCUCCAGUUUGGAGCGUAUAGCGCCUAUACACAGGCAGUAAGUGACCAGUUGAUGCAGCAGCAGGCCGCCCUGGUGGCCGCGCACAGUGCUUACCUCAACCCAAUGGCCACAAUGGCUGCCGUCCAGAUGCAACAAAUGGCGACAAUCAACCCCAAUGGAAUCAUAGCCACUCCGAUUACCCCCAUUACUUCCUCUUCAGGUACCAGUACACCCCCCACACUCGCUGCCACGCCAGUAUCUGCCAUCCCUGCCACACUGGGUGUGAAUGGCUACAGCGCAGUACCCACCCAGAGCAGCGUACAGCCCACCUCUGAGGCAAUCUACACCAACGGGUUACACCCAUACCCAGGUAAUACUGGUAUGUGUAGUAUCUCAGUGCCAUGUGCAGACAUACAGCACCUGUGCGCCAGUCACAGACCUCCUAACGGUGUCACUCACUGUCCUUCUCCCUCAGCACAGAGCCCCGUUACCCAGCUUGAUCCGCUACAACAAGCCUAUGCGGGCAUGCAGCAUUACACAGCUGCUUACCCUGCGGCAUAUGGACUGGUGAGCCCGGCGUUUACCCAGCAUCCACAGCUGUUACAGCAACAGCCUCCACAACAGCAGCAACAGAGAGAGGGUCCGGAGGGCUGCAACAUAUUUAUCUACCACCUGCCCCAGGAAUUCACAGAUUCCGAGAUUCUGCAGAUGUUCCUCCCGUUCGGAAAUGUCAUCUCCGCCAAAGUGUUUGUAGACAGAGCCACCAAUCAGAGCAAGUGUUUCGGCUUUGUAAGCUUUGACAAUCCCGGCAGUGCCCAGGCUGCUAUUCAGGCCAUGAAUGGUUUCCAGAUUGGUAUGAAGAGGCUGAAAGUACAACUAAAGCGACCAAAAGAUGCUAACCGACCGUACUGAGGGGUUCAGGGCCCAAUCAAAUCUUGAGACGACUCUGUCGCAUUGAUGUAUACCUAGCGUCCAUUGGCUGCCCUGGGACUCGUAGCACCACCCCUUGGGUGCACCUGAUAUGGGGGUUUUGAGGGGAUCCUGGGUCCAGCCCCUCCCCC